AGAGUUUGAUCCUGGCUCAGGAUGAACGCUGGCGGCGUGCUUAACACAUGCAAGUCGAACGAUCCUUCGGGAUAGUGGCGGACGGGUGAGUAACGCGUGGGAAUCUGCCCUUAGGAGGGGGAUAACGGCUGGAAACGGCCGCUAAUACCCCAUAUGCCGAGAGGUGAAACGAAUUUCGCCUGAGGAUGAGCCCGCGUCUGAUUAGCUAGUUGGUGGGGUAAAGGCCUACCAAGGCGACGAUCAGUAGCUGGUCUGAGAGGAUGAUCAGCCACACUGGGACUGAGACACGGCCCAGACUCCUACGGGAGGCAGCAGUGGGGAAUUUUCCGCAAUGGGCGAAAGCCUGACGGAGCAACGCCGCGUGAGGGAUGAAGGCCUCUGGGCUGUAAACCUCUUUUCUCAAGGAAGAAGAACUGACGGUACUUGAGGAAUAAGCCACGGCUAAUUCCGUGCCAGCAGCCGCGGUAAUACGGGAGUGGCAAGCGUUAUCCGGAAUUAUUGGGCGUAAAGCGUCCGCAGGCGGCCUUGUAAGUCUGUUGUUAAAGCGUGGAGCUCAACUCCAUUUAAGCAAUGGAAACUACAAGGCUGGAGUGUGGUAGGGGCAGAGGGAAUUCCCGGUGUAGCGGUGAAAUGCGUAGAUAUCGGGAAGAACACCAGUGGCGAAGGCGCUCUGCUGGGCCAUAACUGACGCUCAUGGACGAAAGCCAGGGGAGCGAAAGGGAUUAGAUACCCCUGUAGUCCUGGCCGUAAACGAUGAACACUAGGUGUCGGGGGAAUCGACCCCCUCGGUGUCGUAGCCAACGCGUUAAGUGUUCCGCCUGGGGAGUACGCACGCAAGUGUGAAACUCAAAGGAAUUGACGGGGGCCCGCACAAGCGGUGGAGUAUGUGGUUUAAUUCGAUGCAACGCGAAGAACCUUACCAGGGUUUGACAUCCUGCGAAUCCCUUGGAAACGAGGGAGUGCCUUCGGGAGCGCAGUGACAGGUUGCAUAGCUGUCGUCAGCUCGUGUCGUGAGAUGUUGGGUUAAGUCCCGCAACGAGCGCAACCCACGUCUUUAGUUGCCAGCAUUCAGUUGGCACUCUAGAGAGACCGCCGGUGAUAAACCGGAGGAAGGUGUGGAUGACGUCAAGUCAUCAUGCCCCUUACAUCCUGGGCUACACACGUACUACAAUGCUACGGACAAAGGGCAGCAAGCUCGCGAGAGUUAGCAAAUCCCAUAAACCGUGGCUCAGUUCAGAUCGUAGGCUGCAACUCGCCUACGUGAAGGAGGAAUCGCUAGUAAUCGCAGGUCAGCAUACUGCGGUGAAUACGUUCCCGGGCCUUGUACACACCGCCCGUCACACCAUGGAAGUUGGCCAUGCCCGAAGUCGUUACUCCAACCCUUGUGGAGGAGGACGCCGAAGGUGGGGCUGAUGACUGGGGUGAAGUCGAAACAAGGUA
rnacentral:rRNA from 1 species